UUUGCGCGUUCUAGAUGGUCAGUUAUCCAAAUAGCGUCAAAUUUGUAUCCACCAACAAGUGUUACCAAUAUAUAUGGUCACUCGCUUGAUGGAAUACCAAAUACUUUUAAUACGCUAAUACGGGUGGGAGCGUCUGCCUUACUAUGGUCGCUUUGGCUAUGUAGAAAUGAUUGCGUUUUUAAUGGCAAAAUCUCUUCUCCUAUGCAGGUUAUUUACCGUUGUACGCACUGGCUUCGUAUGUGGUCUACUCUGCACCGAACGGAGUACCAAUCGCUGUUCAAGGCGGUGUGUAUGCGGUUGGAGCGGGUGGUCAGGAGGUUUUUACCCAACAUGGGUGGCAGCAUAAUCUCCGAAUCGGUCCACCUUCUCCGUCGACAUAGGCAUAGUUUCGGCCCCAUAUGGCUUUACUGUUGCCACUUUGUCGUUUUUUAUAUCUUUUGUCAGACUGUUUCUUUGAUGGCUGUGUGCAUCUUAGCUAUGCAGAGGCCGGGUGUCGCUCUUUAUGCUUUGUAUCCGCUCGAUGCUACAUUUUGA
rnacentral:rRNA from 1 species